UGCACCAGGGUGGAUGAGUGGCGAACGGGUGAGUAACACGUGAGUAACCUGCCCCCGACUUCGGGAUAAGCCCGGGAAACUGGGUCUAAUACCGAAUAUGACCGUUCCUCGCAUGAGGAAUGGUGGAAAGUUUUUUCGGUUGGGGAUGGGCUCGCGGCCUAUCAGUUUGUUGGUGAGGUAAUGGCUCACCAAGACGACGACGGGUAGCCGGCCUGAGAGGGCGACCGGCCACACUGGGACUGAGACACGGCCCAGACUCCUACGGGAGGCAGCAGUGGGGAAUAUUGCACAAUGGGGGAAACCCUGAUGCAGCGACGCAGCGUGCGGGAUGACGGCCUUCGGGUUGUAAACCGCUUUCAGUAGGGAAGAAGCCACCCUUUGGGUGGUGACGGUACCUGCAGAAGAAGUACCGGCUAACUACGUGCCAGCAGCCGCGGUAAUACGUAGGGUACGAGCGUUGUCCGGAAUUAUUGGGCGUAAAGAGCUCGUAGGUGGUUGGUCACGUCUGCUGUGGAAACGCAACGCUUAACGUUGCGCGUGCAGUGGGUACGGGCUGACUAGAGUGCAGUAGGGGAGUCUGGAAUUCCUGGUGUAGCGGUGAAAUGCGCAGAUAUCAGGAGGAACACCGGUGGCGAAGGCGGGACUCUGGGCUGUAACUGACACUGAGGAGCGAAAGCAUGGGGAGCGAACAGGAUUAGAUACCCUGGUAGUCCAUGCCGUAAACGUUGGGCACUAGGUGUGGGGGACAUUCCACGUUCUCCGCGCCGUAGCUNACGCAUGAAGUGCUCCGCCUGGGGAGUACGGUCGCAAGGCUAA
rnacentral:rRNA from 1 species